GUGAAGUCGCUCAGUCGUGUCUGACUCUUCGAGACCCUAUGGACUGCAGCCUACCAGGCUCCUCUGUCCAUGGGAUUUUCCAGUGACUACUGCUCUGAUUGUCUGUUAUUCGAUCAACAAUUAACCCCAGGGAACAGAAUAUAGGAUUUCCCAGGAAGGCAUGAUUGGCCUCCUUUCCUGCAGACAUUGUGGUGCUUCUUGGGAAGAGAAACUCAGAUUAGCUACUGAAAGGAAACAAGUUAAGACACUGUAACUGUGCACCAGGAAGGCAUCAGAUGUAAUAUACAGAUAAAGUAGCUUCCUCACAGAAGUAUCCAUUUGGAAAGUUUGUUACCACACAGAAAAAAAAAUGUACAAUGUUAAGAACUAACCAUAAGGAAAAGUGAAAUUAAAUGCUGAACAUCUCUUCCCAAACGGCCCCCUGGAUCAUCAAAUUCAGCACAUUCCAGAUGGAAUGGAGGAUCUGCUCCCACGUACCUGCUGCCUCCACCCUUGACUUCAAUUGGCUGACUCACCUCCUCAGUUGUGAUGAAAAUGCCGUCAUCUCUUCCAUCCCCUUCAAUGCUGCCUCACCACACUUGAUGUCUUUCAGUUCCCAUGUUCUACCUGUGAGACGCCUUUAGCAUCUCUUUCCUCAUCCCCAUCCGCAGGUUCCAUUCUCUCCUAAGCAACUGCUUACCUUUCACCUGG
ensembl:lncRNA